rnacentral:sRNA from 1 species
UUUUAUUUGGUCGGGUUGUUGUCUCUUUGACACAUUCCCCAUUUCUAUUCUCAAUUUUAUCUUUUGAUCCAAAAUUAAAACAUAAACGCAAUAUGUAAAAUUGAGAAAGGAAAUGGGGAAUGUGUCAAAGCGACAACAACCCAACCAUAGAGC